GAGUAAGAAUAAAGCCUAGCUUUGAAACACAAACUCCACCUCAAGCAAACCAAACAGUAUCCCCUUUCCCAGACCUUACGUUGGGGGGACUGAAAACUUCCUGAAGAAAACCCCAAUCGAAGCUAAUUUGCUCCACGAGUUCACUGUGACGCACAGGCUGUCAGUCCUUAUUGCAAACCCAGCUCAUAUUUGUGGAUCCUCUCACGUGCAAUAAUGGUCGGCCAUGCACCAAGCACCCAGAUUGGCCUGUGAUUCCUGGCUCUCGACACACAGCCACGCUCCUGUUUGAGCCAAAGCCUGAGCACCUAUCAGUCAUCCCUAAAGACCACAGUUUGUCUGUCUGCAAGACGAAGAGUUCUGGAAAUGUGACCAACACACCCUCUCAUCUCAGAUUUCAUCAGAAAUUCCUGGGUACUAGCAAGUAUCUAGUUAGGGUUGCGAUUUAGGUGAUUAUCUCAUAAACCCCUGCACAGUAGGUUUGUAUGAAUUGAUGGCAUAAAAAUUGAAGAAUGGGGAUGGAGAGAGAGAGAAUAAAAACUAUUGUCUAAGACAGAAAUUCUUCUAACAGGGCUAAGCUGUCCCCUAAACAUCAUAUUGGGAACUCAUGCACUAGAGGAAACAGGUUUCCAGACCUUAACAGUGCUUUCUGAGGGUUGAGAAAUAUCAGACUAGCCAGGUUGUCAUCUGCCAUUGACAUUCCAAUGGAUUUGUGAAAUUUUGAACCACCCUGACUUGAGCACCCAUUUUCCAGCUGCUGGGUUCACCUCACUCUUGCUUAUGUUCCCCUCAAAACCAAAAUGCCCUUUGUCAUAAAAGCCUCAUCCUAUUUAACCUUCACAAGGCUCCUGCUGGGUUUCUGCAUUAAGCACAUGUUCCUAAUUUACAAAUCAUUUUUGCAGCCAAAUAAAACGGUCUCUAUUUUGGCAUUGUUCAUGAUUUCUUAGUUUACAGAAUUAACCACCAUAUGAUUUAGUAUACCUGGUGUAGCCCGAACCCUGGUAGCCCCAGAAGUCCAUACCUGAAUGGCCUCAUCCUGUGAAUGUUUCCCCAUGGCAAAAGGGGCUCUGUGGAUGUAAACGAAACAAGGCUCUUGGGAUGGAGGAGAUGGUCUUGGACCAUCUGAGUGAGCAAACACGAGAGUCUAUAUGAAAGGAAAACAGGAGGACCAGAGAGAGGACUUGUGACCGUGGAAGCAAUGUGUGCUGGUCUGAGGCCAAAAGGUAAGGAAAACAGAUCCUUGGGGUUGAAAGGACAGGAAGGAGGCUCUGCCCCAGGCCCUUGAGAGGAAAGCAGCCCUGCAGAACCAGCUAAAAUGCCUGACCUGCAAGGCUCAGAGACAGAUGUGUCUCUGAACCACUCACUAAGUAAUUCAUUACAGCAGUGACCGGAAACAAACUCAGUGCUUCUCUGGUUGUGUCGAUCCAUGACGCCCUGGUUCUUCCCAUUCUGUUCUGCUAAUUUAUCUGUGAAGGGAACAUGGUCCUGCACCCCGGAGAAUUUCCCGCGGUUUGGUUUGGCCAACUGCAUCUUAAUGAUUGUGUUUAACUUGUUCUUCCCUCUCUAAAAUUUCUUAUUAUGUCAGAUACCUAGGCCUGGGACACACAUGUUUAAUCUGAGGGUGCAAACGUGUCCCAGAGAAGCUGUGAAUCCUGCUGGCAUCAGGGGGAGAGGUG
rnacentral:lncRNA from 1 species